rnacentral:rRNA from 1 species
AUUGAACGCUGGCGGCAGGCCUAACACAUGCAAGUCGAACGAGUGGCGGACGGGUGAGUAAUGUCUGGGAAACUGCCCGAUGGAGGGGGAUAACUACUGGAAACGGUAGCUAAUACCGCAUACUAUCGGAUGUACCCAUAUGGGAUUAGCUAGUAGGUGGGGUAAAGGCUCACCUAGGCGACGAUCCCUAGCUGGUCUGAGAGGAUGACCAGACACACUGGAACUGAGACACGGCCCAGACUCCUACGGGAGGCAGCAGUGGGGAAUAUUGCACAAUGGGCGCAAGCCUGAUGCAGCCAUGCCGCGUGUAUGAAGAAGGCCUUAGGGUUGUAAAGUACUUUCAGCGAGGAGGCGUUACUCGCAGAAGAAGCACCGGCUAACUCCGUGCCAGCAGCCGCGGUAAUUC